AUGGCCUACGGGGGGCAGCAGUGAGGAAUAUUGGUCAAUGGGCGGGAGCCUGAACCAGCCAAGUCGCGUGAGGGAAGACGGUCCUAUGGAUUGUAAACCUCUUUAGGCGGGGAGCAAUGCCGGGCACGCGUGCCCGGAGGGAGAGUACCCGCAGAAUAAGCAUCGGCUAACUCCGUGCCAGCAGCCGCGGUAAUACGGAGGAUGCGAGCGUUAUCCGGAUUUAUUGGGCGUAAAGCGAGUGCAGGCGGUUCAAUAAGGCUGAU
rnacentral:rRNA from 1 species